GGGAUAGCCGCCCGAAAGGACGGGUAAUACCGGAUACCCCGGGGUGCCGCAUGGCACCCCGGCUAAAGCCCCGACGGGAGGGGAUGGCUCCGCGGCCCAUCAGGUAGACGGCGGGGUGACGGCCCACCGUGCCGACAACGGGUAGCCGGGUUGAGAGACCGACCGGCCAGAUUGGGACUGAGACACGGCCCAGACUCCUACGGGAGGCAGCAGUGGGGAAUCUUGCGCAAUGGGGGGAACCCUGACGCAGCGACGCCGCGUGCGGGACGGAGGCCUUCGGGUCGUAAACCGCUUUCAGCAGGGAAGAGUCAAGACUGUACCUGCAGAAGAAGCCCCGGCUAACUACGUGCCAGCAGCCGCGGUAAUACGUAGGGGGCGAGCGUUAUCCGGAUUCAUUGGGCGUAAAGCGCGCGUAGGCGGCCCGGCAGGCCGGGGGUCGAAGCGGGGGGCUCAACCCCCCGAAGCCCCCGGAACCUCCGCGGCUUGGGUCCGGUAGGGGAGGGUGGAACACCCGGUGUAGCGGUGGAAUGCGCAGAUAUCGGGUGGAACACCGGUGGCGAAGGCGGCCCUCUGGGCCGAGACCGACGCUGAGGCGCGAAAGCUGGGGGAGCGAACAGGAUUAGAUACCCUGGUAGUCCCAGCCGUAAACGAUGGACGCUAGGUGUGGGGGGACGAUCCCCCCGUGCCGCAG
rnacentral:rRNA from 1 species